UACGUAGGGGGCGAGCGUUGUCCGGAAUUAUUGGGCGUAAAGAGCUCGUAGGCGGUGUGUCACGUCGGCCGUGAAAACCUGCAGCUUAACUGUGGGCGUGCGGUCGAUACGGGCAUCACUGGAGUUCGGCAGGGGAGACUGGAAUUCCUGGUGUAGCGGUGAAAUGCGCAGAUAUCAGGAGGAACACCGGUGGCGAAGGCGGGAUCCUGGGCCAGUACUGACGCUGAGGAGCGAAAGCGUGGGGAGCAAACAGG
rnacentral:rRNA from 1 species